rnacentral:tRNA from 1 species
GAUUUCGUAGCUCAGUUGGUAGAGCACAUCCCUUUUAAGGAUGGGGUCCUGGGUCCGAACCCCAGCGAGAUCA